AAUCUAUUUUUAAAUUCUGAUUACAAACAUGAUUUUAUAUAAGAUACAUAUUUCUUACUAUUUUGUUGCUGUUGCAGGUACUUUCAAAUGCUAGACUCGUAUUGGAAAAUAUAAUGAAGUAUGGGAUACUAGUUGAUCCUAUUCAGUGGGCAAAUCUUUUUAUAAACAAUCCUACUGAAUCACCUUCUGUCCUUCUAUUAUUUAGUUUACUUAUUUUUCCAUUGUCAUCACUUGGUAUUGAAAAAUUACUUGCAAAUAUUGCUUGUUAACUAUAUG